UACAGAGGGGGCAAGCGUUGUUCGGAAUUACUGGGCGUAAAGGGCGCGUAGGCGGCCCGCUAAGUCGAACGUGAAAUCCCCGGGCUUAACCUGGGAACUGCGCUUGUAACUGGCAAGCUUGAGUGCGGCAGAGGGGGGUGGAAUUCCAGGUGUAGCGGUGAAAUGCGUAGAUAUCUGGAGGAACACCGGUGGCGAAGGCGGCAUCCUGGACCGGUAUUGACGCUGAGGCGCGAAAGCCAGGGGAGCAAACGGG
rnacentral:rRNA from 1 species